rnacentral:rRNA from 1 species
UGGGGGAUAUUGCACAAUGGGCGAAAGCCUGAUGCAGCGACGCCGCGUGGGGAUGAAGGCCCUCGGGUUGUAAACUUCUUUUGCUCUGAACAAGGCAUGCCUUUGGGGUGUGUUGAGUGUAGGGGUUGAUUAGCGCCGGCUAACUACGUGCCAGCAGCCGCGGUAAUACGUAGGGCGCGAGCGUUGUCCGGAAUUAUUGGGCGUAAAGGGCUUGUAGGUGGCUGGUUGCGUCUGUCGUGAAAGCUCAUGGCUUAACUGUGGGUUUGCGGUGGGUACGGGCUGGCUUGAGUGCAGUAGGGGAGGCUGGAAUUCCUGGUGUAGCGGUGGAAUGCGCAGAUAUCAGGAGGAAUACCGGUGGCGAAGGCGGGUCUCUGGGCUGUUACUGACGCUGAGGAGCGAAAGCGUGGGGAGCGAACAGG